rnacentral:rRNA from 1 species
AUUGAACGCUGGCGGCAGGCCUAACACAUGCAAGUCGAGCGAGCGGCGGACGGGUGAGUAAUGUAUGGGGAUCUGCCUGAUGGAGGGGGAUAACUACUGGAAACGGUAGCUAAUACCGCAUACCAUCAGAUGAACCCAUAUGGGAUUAGCUAGUAGGUGGGGUAAUGGCUCACCUAGGCGACGAUCCCUAGCUGGUCUGAGAGGAUGAGCAGCCACACUGGAACUGAUACACGGCCCAGACUCCUACGGGAGGCAGCAUUGGGGAAUAUUGCACAAUGGGCGCAAGCCUGAUGCAGCCAUGCCGCGUGUAUGAAGAAGGCCUUCGGGUUGUAAAGUACUUUCAGUGGGGAGGCGUUACCGACAGAAGAAGCACCGGCUAACUCCGUGCCAGCAGCCGCGGUAAUAC